CAGCCGCCGCGGUAAUACGAGGUGGGCAAGCGUUGUUCGGAAUUAUUGGGCGUAAAGGGUGCGUAGGCGGCUUGACAAGUCUUGUGUGAAAUCUAUGGGCUCAACCCAUAGUCUGCACGGGAAACUGUCGGGCUUGAGAAUGGGAGAGGUGAGUGGAAUUUCCGGUGUAGCGGUGAAAUGCGUAGAUAUCGGAAGGGACACCUGUGGCGAAAGCGGCUCACUGGACCAUUUCUGACGCUGAUGCACGAAAGCUAGGGGAGCAAACAGGAUUAGAUACCCGCGUAGUCCCUGUCUCUUAUAC
rnacentral:rRNA from 1 species